AUUGAACGCUGGCGGCAUGCCUUACACAUGCAAGUCGAACGGUAACAGGUCUUCGGAUGCUGACGAGUGGCGAACGGGUGAGUAAUACAUCGGAACGUGCCCGAUCGUGGGGGAUAACGGAGCGAAAGCUUUGCUAAUACCGCAUACGAUCUACGGAUGAAAGCAGGGGACCGCAAGGCCUUGCGCGGACGGAGCGGCCGAUGGCAGAUUAGGUAGUUGAUGGGAUAAAAGCUUACCAAGCCGACGAUCUGUAGCUGGUCUGAGAGGACGACCAGCCACACUGGGACUGAGACACGGCCCAGACUCCUACGGGAGGCAGCAGUGGGGAAUUUUGGACAAUGGGCGAAAGCCUGAUCCAGCCAUGCCGCGUGCAGGAUGAAGGCCUUCGGGUUGUAAACUGCUUUUGUACGGAACGAAAAGACUCUUUCUAAUAAAGAGGGUCCAUGACGGUACCGUAAGAAUAAGCACCGGCUAACUACGUG
rnacentral:rRNA from 1 species